GACGAACGCUGGCGGCGUGCUUAACACAUGCAAGUCGAGCGGUAAGGCCCUUUCGGGGGUACACGAGCGGCGAACGGGUGAGUAACACGUGGGUGACCUGCCCUCAACUCUGGGAUAAGCCUGGGAAACCGGGUCUAAUACUGGAUAUGACUCCAUGACGCAUGUUGUGGGGUGGAAAGCCUUGUGCGGCUGAGGAUGGGCCCGCGGCCUAUCAGCUUGUUGGUGGGGUGAUGGCCUACCAAGGCGACGACGGGUAGCCGGCCUGAGAGGGCGACCGGCCACACUGGGACUGAGACACGGCCCAGGACUCCUACGGGAGGCAGCAGUGGGGAAUCGUUGCGCAAUGGGCGAAAGCCUGACGCAGCGACGCCGCGUGAGGGAUGACGGCCUGG
rnacentral:rRNA from 1 species